CACGUAGGGGGCGAGCGUUGUCCGGAUUUAUUGGGCGUAAAGAGCUCGUAGGCGGUUUCGUAAGUCGGAUGUGAAAACUCCAGGCUCAACUUGGAGACGCCAUUCGAUACUGCGAUGACUUGAGCCCGGUAGGGGAGUGUGGAAUUCCUGGUGUAGCGGUGAAAUGCGCAGAUAUCAGGAGGAACACCGGCGGCGAAGGCAGGUCACUGGGCCGCAACUGACGCUGAGGAGCGAAAGCAUGGGGAGCGAACAGG
rnacentral:rRNA from 1 species